rnacentral:rRNA from 1 species
UACACGCUGUGACUAGCAUAUCAAUAAGCGGAGGAAAAGAAACUAACAAGGAUUCCCCUAGUAACGGCGAGUGAAGCGGGAAGAGCUCAAAUUUGAAAUCUUAAAGGGUUUCCCUUUACGAAUUGUAGUUUAAAGAAGUGUUUUCUGUUGAGGUUUUGGUAAAAGUUCUUUGGAAUAGGACAUCAUAGAGGGUGAGAAUCCCGUAUUUGACCUUCACUUUCAACUUUGUGAUACACUUUCAAAGAGUCGGAUUGUUUGGGAAUGCAGUCCAAAAUGGGUGGUAAAUUUCAUCUAAAGCUAAAUAUUGGCGAGAGACCGAUAGCGAACAAGUACCGUGAGGGAAAGAUGAAAAGAACUUUGAAAAGAGAGUUAAACAGUACGUGAAAUUGUCAAAAGGGAAGCGUUUGACACCAGUGUUGUUUUUCUGAAAAUCAAUUAAAGAACUGUUUAUGCUAAGCUGUUUAGACUUUAUCAGCUAUCUGUUUAGUUUUGAGCUUUUCUUUAAUGCACUUUUCAGUUAACAAGUCAACAUCAAUUUCUUUUGCUGUAAAAAAGCUUGAGGAAGGUGGCUUGAGAUUCGUCUUAAGUGUUUAUAGCCUCUUGCCUAUGCAGUCGGAGAGAUUGAGGUCUGCAGCGUAGAUCCUUCGGGGCUAAAUGCAUUUGUGCUAAGUUAUAGCAUUUUAUAGACAACUUGUUGACUAUGAUUUGUCUUGUAGCUUACUCGCUUAUGUUAUUUUACCUACGCUUAGGAUGUUGAAGAUGUAGCACAUCAU